GGGGAUAUAGCUCAGUGGCAGAGCACUUGCCUAAUAUGCAUGAAAUCCUGGGUUUAAUCUUCAGUGCCCCCU
rnacentral:tRNA from 1 species